rnacentral:rRNA from 1 species
UGGGGAAUUUUGGACAAUGGGCGAAAGCCUGAUCCAGCAAUGCCGCGUGUGUGAAGAAGGCCUUCGGGUUGUAAAGCACUUUUGUCCGGAAAGAAAUCCUUGGCUCUAAUACAGUCGGGGGAUGACGGUACCGGAAGAAUAAGCACCGGCUAACUACGUGCCAGCAGCCGCGGUAAUACGUAGGGUGCAAGCGUUAAUCGGAAUCACUGGGCGUAAAGCGUGCGCAGGCGGUUUGCUAAGACCGAUGUGAAAUCCCCGGGCUCAACCUGGGAACUGCAUUGGUGACUGGCAGGCUAGAGUAUGGCAGAGGGGGGUAGAAUUCCACGUGUAGCAGUGAAAUGCGUAGAGAUGUGGAGGAAUACCGAUGGCGAAGGCAGCCCCCUGGGCCAAUACUGACGCUCAUGCACGAAAGCGUGGGGAGCAAACAGGAUUAGAUACCCUGGUAGUCCACGCCCUAAAACGAUGUCAACUAGUUGUUGGGGAUUCAUUUCCUUAGUAACGUAGCUAACGCGUGAAGUUGACCGCCUGGGGAGUACGGUCGCAAGAUUAAAACUCAAAUGAAUUGACGGGGUCAUAGCU